rnacentral:lncRNA from 1 species
AACGCCACAACACCACAAAAUGCACAAAUGAAUAGAGGACUGGAGUUGGGAUUCAGAGUUUAAACAAUGAAAAUUAGAGUGAAGGGAAACGAGUGGGGGUGUUGUGUUAGCAUGAGGGAGGAGUGAAAUUGAAAAUAGGAGUGGAGGUGUUGUGUUACCGUGAGAGAGUGAGUGAAAUUGAAAAUGGGAAAAUAAAUUUAGGGUUAGGUAAAUAAAAGAAGGUUAAAAAAGUAAAUUACAGAGUAAAGAAAAAGGUUAUAUUUAUAAUAUAAAAAAAUUAAAAAAAAAUGGGGAGUGAAAAGCCAAAAAUGUGGAAGUACAGGGAUCAACCCCUUUUUUUUGUCUAAAACACAUUCUAAUCAUGCAAAGAGGAAUGAGAGCAAAGAGGAAGGAAAGAAAGUGAGAUCCGAAAUUAAAAAAAUGAGAGAGUGGGAAGAAUGAAGCACAAAGUUGUUUUUGAGAUUCUUUUGACCAGAUCUUUUUAGUUUUUUAAAAAUUAAAAGCGUUUUAAAUAGAGGUGUAAUGAACAUUUUGUAAAAUUUUGAAGGUGGAGAAUAAAACCCUUGAAAGUGCUAAGUCACUUUAUACGUUUUAUUUUGUUUUCUGA